UCGUUUUGAGCCAGAGUUGUUGGUGUCGGUUUUGUAAGCCGGAGAUAUAUAGUUAACGUUAUUUAAAACGAU
rnacentral:tRNA from 1 species